rnacentral:lncRNA from 1 species
UAAUGGGCACUUUGCUCUAGCCAACUUUGACUAUUAGGUAUUUCUCAAACAUGCCCUAUAUUAUCUUCAUUUGCUCACUUUUUUUCUCAUCACUUAGAAUAUCUUUUUUCUACACCUGCAAAGUUCAAAUAAUAGGCACUAGUAUGUAAGGAAAGGGAAGGACUUCUUCAUAUUUUAUUUCAAUUGCUAUUGAUGUCAUAAAGUUUUUCCUUAUAUACUCCCACUAAGAGUAAUACAUCCCUCCUCUGAACUCUCAUUUCCCUAGAUUUGCAAUGUGGCAUUUUUCACAUUCUAACUGGUAUUUCAGCUUAGAAUUUAUGAAGAUUCCCUCUGAGCACCCUGAGCAUCGACUUCUUAAUAAUUUGGUACCAUCCGGUAUUCCAUGAUCCAAACUGGCCUUACGCAUGAUAAACACUUGAUAGAGUUUUAGAGAGAACCAAAAUUUAUUAAGAACCUACUUUAAUGUGCCAGGUAAUGUGCUUAGAACUGUACAGGUUAGCAUUUAUAUUACACAGAUAGGCAGUGAAGCAGGGAUUCCAAAACACAUCUGCUUAUUGUCAAGAUUUCUAUUCUUUUAAUGACACAGUCCUGCCAGGGAAAUUAAAUAUUUUUAAGGAUGCCAUUUUGUCACACUUUAAAUGUCACUGAGGCUUUGACCUAUUUGUGACAUUGAGUUCAACUCCUUGAAAAUGUUCACAGAUGAACCAAACUCAUCUUUUCCUGUGAGGGCAGCUGCUUCCAGGAUGAGGUUCUGGAGGGCAGCCAGCCCCGUUGUGCAGAGGCCAGGAGGAUGUGUGGGGAAUGGAUGAUGGAAGGCCUCCUAAUCAGGUGCUGUCUGAUGAACUGAAGUGAAACACUGCAAGCAGAAUGGGUCAAAGGAGAGAGAGGCACACAAUUUCAGGCCAGGCCACAAAGCCAGAAAAGAUCUGGAAAAUGUAACUGCAGAAUACAAAAUCAUCUGGAGUCUAACAUUUAAAGAUAGGGUGGUAGAUUACGAGAAAACUACCAUACAGUUCAUGAGGGUGGGGGGGAUCAAAGCUAUAUUUAACAAACUCGGCUAGGAGCAAGCUACAUAUUUAUUCUGCCUGGAAAGUACUUCUGGCAGUGUCUUAUUUGCUGUGUCCAAAAUUAGUAAUAUCAUGAAUAACUAUAACUUCAAAAAUGAAGAAUAUGAUUCUGUGUUUUAUACUUUCUACAUGCACUUAUCCUAUUAUGUAACUGAACGGUGUGGGGAAAAGAGUAUAUCUAAUAUGAAAGAAAAAACCUCUGCCCCUGAGAAGUCCAAAUUCUAAAAAUGACUUAAUCGGCCAACUGUGACAAAAGCAAGGCUUUGAACAUCUCAGUAUCCCUGGAGUCUGUCUUCUCGUCAUUCACUUAUUGCCACUGUGACAUACCACGUGACAGUCUGCAUGGCCAGAAAUAUUAAUUACUGUCUGGGGAAGAUGGUAUUAUAUUUAAUACUCCUUUACUCCUAAUCCUACCAUUCUCCAAAAGUACAAUGAAGAGAUGGGCAGGCCUGGGGAUCUAAUGCUUUCAUACAUCAAAAGGUGACACAUUCCCAUUGCCACCAUAAGUUUUGCUAUAUCUGGGAAGAGGUCACUCUUUGAAAUUCUAUAUGCAAUUUUGGGAAAUAGAAUGGUGUUCCUUUUUUUUUACCCUCCUAAAAAAGAAUGCUGAAGUUAUUUUCUCUCUUGCCAAAAAGAGAAGAAAAAAACGAGAAGGAGAAAUCAGUUUGAGAUUUGAUUGCGCAGACGUGAGAACAGAGGCAUUGCCAUACCAUGGCAGAUGACUCAUCCAGCCUUUAAUCUUGGCUCCAAACCCUGGCCUCUGCCUGAGGAUUCGGAGAAAGGCAAUAUGCCAUUCUAACUUGUAGACCAUUUAUUUAACAAGGUUUUCCUGACUUAAACCUUCUCUUUACUGCAAAGCUGUACAUUGGAGUAUGCUGAUUUAUGAAAUAAUAAGGACUUUUAAAGUCUUCAAGAGCUCGACAUCUGUUUAAAAAGAAAUAACUGUUUUAUCAGACCUAAAGUUUUUUUUGGCAGGGCUUCAAAGAAAAAUAACAAUUUCCUAUUCUCAUCUAGGUACAUGGAAGUUAUACUGAGGAUUUCUCCCCCUGAGAACACCAAUGAAGUCGCAGAUGUCAAAAUAUGUAUAAGAAUUUUGCCUAAUUCAGUACAAUAAACCCUUAAUGUGCACAAACCAUGUAUCUAGCACUAUGCCAAGGUUUGUGCAGAUCAGAAAUGAAGAAAUUAUGUCAACAAAAUAUAUUAUGACAAUAUGUAUUUUUUCAAAAUAAUAAUGACAAUAAUAAUAAUCAAUACAAUGUGGUAAGUACCUAAAGGAAGAGGACUGCUUUAUUUGCAUUCAGAGGAACAAGUAAGUCCCUUCAGGAAAUAUGGCUCUGGCUAAUGGGAGUUUUCCAAACCUAUCAAACUGGAAUCACUUACAUUUGGUUCAGCAUUAAAUUCUCUCUGCUCAGACUACUUAAUUUUAGAACUCUGAGAACGGAUUUUUAAUGACAAGAUUUUUAAGGGUAAGAUUUUUACACAAUUAGAAUAAAAUAAGAAAUAAUUUGUAACCAUGUUAUAGAACCUUUCAAACAUGUAUUAAAAUUCUGGGAGAAAAAUACAAACAGUAGAUUUUAGAGGUGGUAAAAUUUUCACUCUAAUAUUCUGUGUAUGUAUAUACAGAAAAGAUUGCAAUUAUUUUUCAGUAAUUGGAAAACAGUAAUAAAAGUUUUAAACAAUGUUUAAAAAUAUUAAGGCAGAUAAUAACGUCAACACAGCUUAUCUGGGAAGCAGAUGCUGAGAGAAAGUUAAGAGGGGAAGUUUCUUAGGGUUCAAUGCCUAAAAAAGAUAAAAGGCGAAAGAAGAAAAUGAAGCAGAGACAGACUUCAACUGUGAUGCAGAGCUGACACCUGUGAAAGGAAAGAUGGAGAGGUAUAAGAAGAAGAAUUGAGUAGAGAGGGACUCAGACUACGAUGUAAAUCAGAUGUAAGUCAGAUAAAGUCUUGGCUAACUCAAUGGGGAGCUCCCGAGCCCAGCGUGCCCAUUAGAAGAGUACCACAUUGGGAAAAGAUGGCCUGGUCCUAAUAGCCCACCGAGUUGUCAGUGGCUGGGAGCUGCCCUUGUCAGUCCUUGUCUUUAGCUGAAUGCUGCUUCAGAUCUGGAAAGGUGCUGUAACUGGAGGCCAUGAGCUAACUGCAUGGCCUCCAGGUGAAAGGGCAAGCUCUUCCUGAAGGAAGAUCCAGUGGCAUAUCUCCAUGGCUGCCAGACAGAGUAGAGAAAUGGAACUUAUCGGUGUCUCUUCAGAAGUUUUGUUACAAAUAUCCAGAAAUAUUUCUAUAAUCUAAUCAGCAGAUUAUGAAUAUAUGCAUUAGACUUUAGUUUUGGUGCAAUCACAUGAAUUCCAUUUUGUGGAGUAAGAGGUGACUGGGGUAUAGGGUACAACCCAUAGCCAUCCAUGUUCAUCUUUGUUUUGAAUAUAAUUGGCUAGAAGAUAUACAUAUAUCUAUGUAACUUCCUCUAGCAUCCUCCAGUAUGGAGGCUGCAUUAAGACUGCAUGAAGGAGAGGGAGAGAAGGGAGAAACAGAGCAGCUGGACAAGAGGACAGGUAUAGGGAAUAAGGGAGAAGCCAGUAAGGCAGGAAAGACCCUCCGUGACAAAGGGGCAGGGAACAGAACUCAAACAUUUAAUGGCAGGUAACCCAGGUUAGAAUGGUAAAUUGAAAGGUGAAUAUAAAGGGAGAAUGGUGAAAUGAAUUUUCUGAAAUUAAUUGCUGUGUUUAUAGUUUUUAGCCAUGCAUCGGAAUCACCUCAGGACUCCACUCCCAAUCAAUUAUAUAUCUGGGGGAGGACCAAGGCGUUGGUAUUUUUCAGAAGCUCCACUGGUGAUUCUGACAGCACAGCUAGGAUUAAGAAACUGAUCAAUGGGAACGGCAUGCCUGUUGCAGAGGAGCUUCCCUGGGAAAUGUCACACACAGAACAUCAAUCUUCCUUCCCCACUCCUGAGAUCCCUCAUUCUUUGGCACCAGGAACAGUUGCAAUUAGUAAACCCUGGUUCCCUGCUGUCUCACAAAUCGCAAGAGUCCAACGUGUGGAUAUAAACUUUUGUUCAUGGGAGGAUCUUUCUCCCAGUGGAAAAGCAACUGGGAAAAGCAGGACACACUGCACAGUGACUGCAGUUUCAUCCAAUGCCACCACCCAUGCAGGCAUAAAUAAUGAACAUGGAUGGGGGAGUCUGGAGCUGCUGAAUUGAGGAAGAAAGAACACAGAAAUUAAAAUUCUCACAAAGGUUACCAUUAAGCUAGAGGAAGACCACACCACUGUGUGUCCACAAAGAUACAGAGCCAGGCCGGGUUCAGCCAUGCUGGUCAUCUGCUCUAUAUAAUACAAUUAUUUAGAGAUGGUGGGUAGAGAACAACUACAGAAAAAAAAAAACUGCCAGAAACUAGAAUGUCAUUUUUACACACUCAUUUGUAGAAUUCCUCCCAGUUUUUACUGAAGGGAACUUUAAAAUGAUUUUCAUUUGGGGAAAGAACUGUUUUGAGUUUACCCUAUAAGAUGGCCACUAAAACUCACCCACUUUCAUGAUUACCCAGCCAUCCUCAGAUCAUCUUCAUGAUUUUCCUGGAAAUAACGGAAGAGGCCCUGGGGAUGAUUUUAUUGGUAGAGUGGGAAUGUAUUAAAAUUCUCUACUUCCUUGUUACAUGGUCUUUCCUCCACCCUACAAGGUGUGUGCUUGUAACUCAAAUUUCCAUUUGAGUAAUUAGCAAUUAUUAUUUAAAACUAACCUGAAAAUAAAAAUUGUAUUCAAUUCAUUCAUAGGGAGCAUCUACCUAUUUAUUAUUACCACAUAGGUGAUGUGACUCUAGAAACAUCUUGGUAUUCAAAUAGCCAAUUAAAAUAUAAAAUGUAAUGAUUUUCUAAAGCUACUCGUUUUCCUUCUCUCAUCUCUAUCUACUAAUUGGAAAGUCUAUUCUCCAAACACAGCAAAGAUGAUUGACAGAAUUCUAAAAAUACACAAAUUUCCCUAUUAAAGAGGGUGAAUGGAUGUUAGCACUGUAUCAGACACAUAAUAUUAAGGAGAUACCUGCUGUUUAACAUUAACAUUCUGUGUAGUUUUUGUUUUGCAUCAAACAGACAUCAAAAAGUGAAUAAAAACAUGUCGUGAAAUUACCAAAUAAUAAAUUAACUUCCUGGAUACAAGGAAGUUAUUUUAGCAAGUUCUUUUUAAUAAAAGCAAAGAAUGGGGAUGUAACAAUUAGAGAAAUGUGGAGGAAAACAUAAGAAAGUUGGGAGAGGGAGGUUAAAUCUCACUUCCAGUUAUCAGUAAAGUGCACAUUCUUUUCUGUAUUCUGUGAGGCUGGAGGUGCUGCUGAUAGAAUGUCCUCACAUAUUCUGUCAAUGCCAGGAUGCAAACAUCACUAAAUAA